rfam:Onchocerca ochengi, WGS project CAWC01000000 data, contig: 00639_1120
AAAAAGGAUAAUUUUAUUAUUAGUAUCUAAAAAUUAAAAAUUACUGCGUAUAUUUUUUAUUCCAACGAAGCGAUUCUAACGGUAAAACGAUUGUCCGAAACGAUUCUGAUGUGCAAAUCGAUCACCUAACCUUAGUAUAGGGCCAAAAGACCAAUCGAACAAUUUAGUGGCUGGUUCCCUCCGAAAUUUCUCUCUCAAGAUAGAUAGAGUACGUAAUGAAGCUGUUAUAUUCGGUAAAAUGAUGGAUUGAAAGAAUUUGGGGACAAAACGUCUUCAACCUAUUCUCAAACUUUCAAUGAGUAUGACGUCUUGCUUACUUGAAUGAAGCGUAAAGACUGGACGUGUAUUGCAAAUAGACCAUUUUUGAUAAUCAGUAUUGGCCAGUGGAAUGAACCAAAUGUUAAGUUAAAGGAUAAAAAGUCUUUUCAAAUAAUUAUUUAAAAAAAAAAAAAGAAAGAAAGUGAAAAUAAAUCAAUUAAGAAAACAUUUUUGUAUUUAAUUAAAAUACAUCCUCUUUUU